rnacentral:misc_RNA from 1 species
GUGAAUUAAACAUGCCUUGGUGUCUUCGCUUCGGCAAGGCCCUUGCUUAAAUCACAUCCUAACACCUGUGAACUGUAAGACGUAUGAUGAGGUCUUUGGCCAAGUCAUCGUCUGCCCAUUUUUAACAAACAAUUAAUGUAACAAACGUAGUCUUAUUAUAACCUAAUA